rnacentral:lncRNA from 1 species
GGGAGGUGUGCUCGGGGAGGAGUCAGGAAAAUGGCUCCUACCUCAAGAUGAUUGAGAAGAGGCAGACAUUACCUUGAGACAAAAGAAGAUCGGUUUGAGAUAGAAGAAGAUCGGCAAGAAGAUUCAAAGAGUAAAAACGAUGUAAAUGAAGAGGGACCCUCCACUUAUUUACAGCCGUAAAAAAUGGUUUCAUGGACUCAUCAUAGUCGUCCCUUGUGAUGAGAUCCAUGGGCGAAAAACAAACGCCUUUUAGAAUCUAACAUUGAAAGACAGGCG